CAGCAGCCGCCGCGGUAAUACGAAGGGGGCUAGCGUUGCUCGGAAUGACUGGGCGUAAAGGGCGCGUAGGCGGCAUACACAGUCAGAUGUGAAAUUCCUGGGCUUAACCUGGGGGCUGCAUUUGAUACGUGUAGGCUAGAGUGGGAAAGAGGGUUGUGGAAUUCCCAGUGUAGAGGUGAAAUUCGUAGAUAUUGGGAAGAACACCGGUGGCGAAGGCGGCAACCUGGUCCUUGACUGACGCUGAGGCGCGAAAGCGUGGGGAGCAAACAGGAUUAGAUACCCCAGUAGUCCCUGUCUCUUAUAC
rnacentral:rRNA from 1 species